UACGUAGGUGGCGAGCGUUAUCCUGAAUUAUUGGGCGUAAAGAGCGCGCAGGUGGUUGAUUAAGUCUGAUGUGAAAGCCCACGGCCUAACCGUGGAGGGUCAUUGGAAACUGGUCGACUUGAGUGCAGAAGAGGGAAGUGGAAUUCCAUGUGUAGCGGUGAAAUGCGUAGAGAUAUGGAGGAACACCAGUGGCGAAGGCGGCUUCCUGGUCUGUAACUGACACUGAGGCGCGAAAGCGUGGGGAGCAAACAGGAUUAGA
rnacentral:rRNA from 1 species